rnacentral:rRNA from 1 species
AUUGAACGCUGGCGGCAGGCCUAACACAUGCAAGUCGAACGGUAACAGGAAGCAGCUUGCUGCUUUGCUGACGAGUGGCGGACGGGUGAGUAAUGUCUGGGAAACUGCCCGAUGGAGGGGGAUAACUACUGGAAACGGUAGCUAAUACCGCAUAACGUCGCAAGACCAAAGAGGGGGACCUUAGGGCCUCUUGCCAUCGGAUGUGCCCAGAUGGGAUUAGCUAGUAGGUGGGGUAACGGCUCACCUAGGCAACGAUCCCUAGCUGGUCUGAGAGGAUGACCAGCCACACUGGAACUGAGACACGGUCCAGACUCCUACGAGAGGCAGCAGUGGGGAAUAUUGCACAAUGGGCGCAAGCCUGAUGCAGCCAUGCCGCGUGUAUGAAGAAGGCCUUCGGGUUGUAAAGUACUUUCAGCGGGGAGGAAGGGAGUAAAGUUAAUACCUUUGCUCAUUGACGUUACCCGCAGAAGAAGCACCGGCUAACUCCGUG